UGAGAAGUGGAGUGGCUACGAGGGCCUGU
rnacentral:piRNA from 1 species